GUUUAUGGCCACACCAUUCUCAAUGCAUGUGAUCUCAGAAGCUAAGCAGGGUUGGCCCUGGCAAGUAUUUGAAUGGGAGACUAUUCUGGUGUAUUAUUAUCA
ensembl:rRNA 5S_rRNA 5S ribosomal RNA